UCUUCCACUGAGCCACAGACAUGUCAUCCUUACCCUGCAGAGGACAAACACCCAGAGGUGGAAACAGCUGGCAGCGCCUUUUAACAUCAGAAAAAGCAGCGUUGGAGCGAAGAGUUAAGAUGUUUCAUUAAGACUGAGGCUGGAAAACGCAUCACACUCCUGAUUUCGCUGCAGCCGGACCAGGAAACCGGACCAGGAAACCGGACCAGGAAACCGGACCAGUGAUUUUAUUUUCAGCAGUGAAAGGAAAUAAAUGAGGUCCAGCAGUUUUCA